rnacentral:lncRNA from 1 species
AGUUUAAUCUAUUGGGGAUAUACAUUAUUCUUAAGUCAUACUAUUGUGAGUUUUUUAAAUAAAAUUACAAUAUAAAGUAUGUCUAGAAUCUCAAAAGACACUCAGGCAAAAGUUAACACCAGGAUUUAAACAAAUUCUUUAAUAAACCAACUACAAACAGAGAACUUAAAAUAGACUGCUAUUUAUUUUUAUUCAGUUCUGAUCCCAAAAGUCACACUUUGCUACUGAUGGUCCUGUUGUAAAAUGAAGCAUGGGUCAUCAGGAAACUUAGGAAUCUAGAGGGGGGGAUAAAGUGCAGAACCAGGAAGAGGUAGGAGAUGACAACUUAGACAGACAUUGUAACAACAAAUCCUAUCUAAAUAUAGCCAAUUAAUCUGAUUAAGAACUAGGUAUCAGAGUUCCAUCAGAAAAACAAACACAGAAAAAGUGAUCUGAAUACUGAUACACAAUAUUAUAGGAGUUAGACCACAAGCCAUUGCGAGCUGGUAGAUCAAUCUAUGCAGGUUACUGUCUGUUGCUCUGGCUAUAAGUCAGCCAGACUAGCAGCUAGGAAAUAAACUGGAAAAGCUAAGACCUGCAGGAACAAAUCAGAAUCCAUCAGGAACAUACAAGGACAAAGCAGAAUUUAUGGCUUCUAUCACCAGCUACAACCCCAAUGCCAUGAUGGCUACAGGAGAGCAAGGCUUCCUUUAACAGCUUCUUUCCUCUUUCAGAGUUUUGAAAGCUUACAUUUAAAGAAGUUUCCAAGAGAGGACUGGACAAAGGCUUAAGACAAAGCAAGUCUAUUCUACAAAACAGAUAAAUAAAAAAUAAGAAACAAAUAUCAAACAAAUAAGUUGCUUUUAAGCACUGUCCCCUCUCCAUGCCCUGUAAAUAAUUAAUCAUAAAAUAUAUAAAAUGAAAGCUAUCUGCAUUAUUCCAAAGGUCUAUUAGCAAUUUUUUUUAGUGAUUUUUCCAACUAUAUUGUGUCGACACCAAUAGUUUUAAUAACAGAAAGAUGACACUAGGAGAUUUUAGGAUAAAAUAAUUAUAAUAUAGCUCUUAGAAGAACAGUUUUUAUAAUUAGAUAGCUUGAAAUCAAAUAUGGAUUCUGCCUCUUUCUAGCUAGAGGAUGAUCAGAUAAGCUACUUAACCUUCUGAAGCUCUAGUCUGGUUUCCAUUUGUAAACUGGUGUUAUUAAUGGUACCUUUUUUUUACAGGGAUCUGUGUAAUUAUUAGGUGAGAUAAUGUUCAUAAAGAUCUUGGAAGAGAAUCCACCAAAUAAUUUGCUCUAAAAUAAGUAUUGCUUAUGAUACAGCUCAUUAUUUUCUGAUAAUUUCAUUUUAUAAAG